rnacentral:lncRNA from 10 species
GCACUGGUGCUCCAACAGUAAAUAAGGGAAUCAACAUGCUGACCUUAGUGGAAUUUGCUGCUUAUUAUAUGUAAUAUAAGCCUGAGAGUGUAGCCAUCAACAUAUUAACAACCAUUUGUCUCAGGUUCGUACAGUAUAGGUGCAUAUUUUAUUUUAUUUUAUUUUAUUUCAUAGAUAAUUUGCAUUAUUUGUGUAAGCAGCCAUUUCAGAAGUCUGAAAUGAAAAAAAAAACUUGCUUCACAAAUCAUCAUGAUGAUACAUUCUAUUUGCAUAGCACAUAUGUUUUUCUCCCAAAUGUUUCUAUGUAUAUGUAUGUCCCUAACCGAAAACUGGACCAGCUUCUUCCAGGAAGUAGCCUUUAUCCCCUUCCCCUAUGCACAGACACUAGGAUCCAGAUUAUUCCAAAAUUCAAAGCCAAGAACUAAAGCCAAUUAAGUUUUUCUCCAAUAUAUCACCACAUUCUACUGUUACUAUUUUUCAAAAUCUCACCGUAGUUCAUGGUUUAUUAAUUUUCCUGAUUCGCUCAUGUAAAUAAGGCGUACUAAGUAUGAAGGAGCACAGAUAUCAACACAUUCCAAACAAGGUAAAAUAAUUUAAUUUCAAAUUUACUUGAAUAGAUUAUCAGGCUCAGAAUCCUUUUCUUUUUGGCAAAGCAGUUUUUAUUGUCCAUUUCAAUGUGUCUGGAAAUAAGUUUGUAGGCUUUAUCGGCCAGAAUUAAAACUGCCCUUUGAGAGGUUUACCUUAAUAUCAACGAUAUUUCCUUUUUGAUAAGAUCAUAAUUAAAUAUACUUUAUGUACAUAAAUUUGGUCUCUCAUUGAUUUUACUUUCUUAAUUUUAACUGACCAGAAAAUUGGGAAAAUUGGACAUAUCAAUUUUAUGCUGAAUAAUGCUUUUGAAAUUGUCACUCACAGAAGCUGUCAUUGUCACUUAGGUUGUAGAAAAUAAUAAAUGCAAUCAACUUUACACAACUGACACUGUAGCCUAACAAUGCAAAGAUCUGUAGAAACAGGUGGGGAAAUACAAAUGCCAUUUUACACUACAUUCAAUAGAUAUUGACAAAUACCAUUUAUCUUUGUAGAUCUGAUUUGUUCACAUUCAAACUGUUAAUAUAAAUGUUGGGGGAAAAUUAUCCAUGAGUUUAUUGCAUUUCUAUAUGGUCUGGCCAUUCUGAGCAAAGGAAAUGGUUGAAUAAUAAACAUCUUGGAAACUAGAGACAGUGUAUCUCUAUAUAUAGACAUAUACUUCCCAGAAAACAUCCCCAGGUAUUGAAGAGAAAUUCUGGAAGCAUUUUCUUGGUUUCCAGUGUAAUAAAUGUGGAGAUGCCUUUCCCCUUCCCACUUGGAGGAGAUUUGCUUACACACUGAAGUAAUGAGUACUCUCUCACUCUAGAGGGCAGGAUGAGCAGAUGUGCCAGUAGUCCUAUGAAAUCUGUCUCUUAACAAUUUGUGAUUCCUUUCUUACAAUGUAACCCCACUGCACAUGCAGGCCCUCAUUGAGUUACCCUGUGAGGAACUGAUACAAAAUGCUGAUCUGGCUGCUGUCAAGAGGAUGAAAUAGAUAAAGCAAGACAUAGACAAGUUCAGAGGUACUCGGUGUGCAGUGGUGAACAGAAUAGCUGUAUUGUCUGUACUCACGAGUAAUAGGAUUCUAGGAAAAAAUUCACGGCAUGCUCAGAUUUGAAAAAAAUAAAGAAUGCUGAGAAAAUAGAUUGGGUGAGAGAGUACACAAGAGGAAUCUGGAAUUGCAACAGAUGAAGAUGGCCUGGAUGCAGAUUUACAUUACAAUGUCUGAAUUCCUGGGAACUGUCAUAUUGUUCACCAUAGGGUGAGUGCAUAAUCAAAUGUCAGUGUUCACAGGUGACACAAAAGGCAGGAGGACAAUUUUACUAGGUUGGUGAGAGAAACUAAUGAGUUUCUCUGGGAGGCAAGUAUAGUGAAGUUUUACAAGGAGACCAGGAAAAAUGUUCACACUUAUUUUUCUAGGAUCAUGUGCUCUUAAUUAUUAACUGUAAACUUGAAACAUGUUUAGGAUUAUUAAAAAUUUUUUGUUUGUUUUUUUAAAUGUAAUGACAGAAUAGUGGUUGAUUGUGAUUAAAAAGAUCAAAUAAACAUUCUCUUUUUUUUUAAUGGUAUUAGACUUAUGUAGCCCAAUUUCUUUUAAGCACUCAGCUAGUAGGUUAACACCAGUUGGCAUGAUUGGUAUUUUGGGUAGUUACGUUGAAUUCAUCUUGGGAAAAUUUGCAAAAUAUAUUUUAUUGGCAUUUUUAUAUACUUUAUUAUUAUAGUUCUUAGUAGUACACGUUAAGGGAGACUUGAAGAAAUCUGCCAAAUUGCUAUUAAGUAGUUAAUAGUAUUGAAAUGCUAUUAAGUAUUAAUAGUAAGGAUAAAAGACAUAUCAAUCUGAUAUGAAAAUUCAUAAAAUAGCAGAUCCAAAUGGCCAAAUACACAUAAAACACGCUCAAACACAAUACUAUGGAAAUUUAAAAUAAAUGAACACUAAUUUUUUAAUCUAAUUUAAUUGGCAAAAAACAAGCCAUAAUAUAGAAAAACGAUGCUUUUAUUUACUGUUAAUGGAAAUAAGUUUACAUCCUUUUUGGACACAAUUUGAUGAUUACAAUGAAAAGACAUAUGGCUGUAAGUAACAGAAGUCUAAUACGGCAGUGGUAAAAUAAAACGCAGUCAUGCUUCACUUAAUGAUGAGGACAUGUUCUGAGAAAUGCAUCAUUAGGUGAUUUCUUUGUUGUGUGAAUAUCACACAGUGUACUUACACAAACCUAGAUGGUAUAGCCUACUAUGCACCUAGACUAUGUGGUGGCUCCUAGGCUAAAAUCCUGCACAGUAUAUUAUUGUACUUAAUACUGUAGUCAAUUGUAACACAAUGGUAUUUGUGUAUCUAAACAUAUCUAACCAUAAAGAAGGCAUAAUGAAAAUAUGGUAUAAAAGAUAAGAAAUGGUGCACCUGCAUAGGACACUUAACCAUGAAUGGAGCUGGCAGUACUGGAAGAUUGUCUGGGUUAAGUCAGUGAGUGAGUGGUCAGUGAAUAUGAAGACUUAGGACAUUAUGGUACACUAUCAUAGAUUUUAUGAACACAGUACACU